rnacentral:rRNA from 1 species
UACGAAGGUCCCAAGCGUUAUCCGGAUUUAUUGGGUUUAAAGGGUGCGUAGGCGGCGCCGUAAGUCGGGUGUGAAAUUUCGGAGCUUAACUCCGAAACUGCAUUCGAUACUGCGGUGCUUGAGGACUGGAGAGGAGACUGGAAUUCAUGGUGUAGCGGUGAAAUGCGUAGAUAUCUGGAGGAACACCGGUGGCGAAGGCGGCAUCCUGGACCGGUAUUGACGCUGAGGCGCGAAAGCCAGGGGAGCAAACGGG